rnacentral:rRNA from 1 species
AGGUCAAGCAAUAAGGGCACAGGGCGGAUGCCUUGGCACUAAGAGCCGAUGAAAGACGUGAUAAGCUGCGAUAAGCUUCGGGGAGGAGCAAAUAUCCAUUGAUCCGGAGAUGUCUGAAUGGGGAAACCCACAUGAGCAAACCUCAUGUAUCCUACAGCCAAUACAUAACUGUAGGAAGGGAACCCGGGGAACUGAAACAUCUAAGUACCCGGAGGAAAAGAAAGAAAACUCGAUUCCGUAAGUAGCGGCGAGCGAACGCGGAGGAGCCUAAACCGGAAUGCGUGCAUUCCGGGGUUACGGACUGCAUUUAAGAUUCUUUGAAGCUAACAGAACGGUUUUGGGAAAGCCGGCCGGAGAGGGUGAAAGCCCCGUACGUGAAAGCUGAUGAGACUGAGCAGGAUCCAGAGUACCACGAGACACGUGGAACCUUGUGGGAAAUCAGGGGGACCACCCCCUAAGGCUAAAUACUACUUAGUGACCGAUAGCGCAUAGUACUGUGAAGGAAAGGUGAAAAGGACCCCGGGAGGGGAGUGAAAGAGAACCUGAAACCCUGUGUCUACAAGCUGUGGAAG